rnacentral:lncRNA from 1 species
GAAGAAUUUGUAAACUCCACACUAAAUCCAAUAUCCAUGUUUAUCUUGCCUUGCACCAAUGAGAAAUCCCAAGCGAUGUACGAGUUUAUUGAGUCCACAGUCAAAGAAACCUCAUAAGUUUUUCCAGCUGCAACACUUAUCUCUUUGUGUUCAUCACUUUUCCUUGUUUCUAAUGCACCAGUAGUGUCUGCUGAUAUUAAGAAUGGUGAAUUUGCGAAGACCUCACCCAUAAAUUUGAUGAACCUCUCAAACUCAGUGGUGUAGACAUCAAUAGCUUGUUCCAAGAAAGCAACAUGUUGCCUCUUUAAAUUUCUGCACAUCGUCAAACCGCUCUGAGCGCUCCCGUUGUUGUCUAAUUAGUGUUCCCCGAAAAUCUUGAGGCAUGUAAGUCAUAACUGUAUUAAACACACGGUCAGAAUUCUUGGAUUGGAACAAUUCCAAAAUCUUCAAAGCGUUUUGAAGUUUAUCUUUGAGGUGUCUGAGAACAGUAGCAAGCUCAGCAUCAUCAGGUGUUGACUGCUGCUGAAGCACCACUGGCCAAUGAGAGGUUUCAAGUAAAAAAAGAAUUUCUUCAAUGUGUUCUCGAUUCUUCCACAUGUUCUCAUCGAUUUUAUGUGGAGGCUGACGGUCUGCUUCAUCCAACAAUAAUCUUUCAUCUUCAGUGGGAGGAAGAUGGUUGAGCAAAUCGUCAGCCAUCGAGCGAAUCUCGGAGGAAAGGCGAGAAACGUCAUCCCCCAUAAUACCAAAACAAAAAGUCGAAUAUAAAUCACCAUCGAAUCUUGAUAAUGGCAAGUGAGAUCACAUUCCUCAGGAGAUGCAAUGAGAAUAUAAAUAUAAAAAUAAUAGAGAUGAAUAUGAAAGAUCAUUGAGAAGCAUCAAUCGAGGAUUAUGCUACAUCCAAGGAGAGAUCUCUCAGCCUUCCACUUCAGUUACAGACUGCACUGGCUCCACUACUGGAGGUAUGCAAUCCACCUUGUAGCGAAGCACCUUCUUAAAAAAGGUUGAAUACGAAUUGUCCCAAAUCAACUUAUAGUUUCCGACCAUACAUGUGCAGAAGUUUCCUUGGUCAGACUCAUAGCGCUGGUAAGGUAAUAUCAGAACUUUUCCGAAUAAAAUCUAGCAAGACCUGUGGAACUCCAACCAAAUACUUCACAAGGGUUUUGUAGACACCUGUUGCGGAACCAAGUUGAGCUAACUGUCUCCUCCUUUCCAUUUGUUGUUUCCACAAUAGAGCAUAUCGAGCGCGUAUACUUCCACCAGAAUUGACCAAAGCAUCAAUCUCCGCUUGCUUAUUCCUCGGACGGAGGUGCAAAUGGGUACUCGGAUGAGGGGCGCCCGGAAAAUGUACGGAGUGCGGCGAGGUUUAUGGCGACGUGCUUGAUCGGAGGGGUGGUUGUGGGGGUCUCGCUGUUGGGUUGUCGUAAUAAGAAGCCAGAUAACUCCUGGUUAUCGGUACCAGACCGUCGGUAGAAGCCAUUUCUUAUUUCUUAUCUCUUUAAUUUUCACAAUUUGAAUAAGGACUUUUUGCCGGAUCGACCGGAGAGAACGCCUAUCAAUUCCCUCUCACCACAUUCUUUACAUCAACAAGGACUCAAGGAGCACCGAAACAACGGUUUUGGAAGAGGACGCCACUGCGUGCGGUACAUCUGAGACGUGGGCCCUCUUCAAUUUCUUUCCAAUGGCAAGAGUCAAGGCCUUUUACGCUACAACAUGAGUGCUGGCAUGGGGCAUCCUCGGAAGAAUAUUUUAGCUUUUUCCCCAUCGCAGUGUUGGCGUGCAAAGAACGGAACAUUAUGGGU